ACCACCCGUGUCACGUUUGGAUGUGUUAGAUAAAUGUAUUUUUUCAUUUAAAGUGAGGACAUCAAGUUCCACUUAAAGUACAUUUAAGUAAAAAGGCGAGUCGUUUUAACAGGGUCAGGGAAUGAGUCCCCCGCGUAUGACCGUGGUUCCGGAAGGGUGGACAUGUGGAAGCACUAACCACCAAACGCUCUAACUGAAACUCCACUCCCAUUCCACAACAACUCCUGCUCCUCUCUCCCAGCCUCCAGCCCUGUCAAUGAUCUCACUUCAACUCUUGACUGUCGGCUCUCCAUUCCUCGAAAGGAGUGGAGGCUGGUGCGUGCCACAAGGUGGAGGCCCCUUGAAAGAACGCUAGUGAAAAGAGCCAGUCACGUGUCCUAAGACCCCAUUACAUGAUGGUCCCGAAGAGACAAAUCCACAGAGGCGGAAGCAGAUUGGAGAAGGAGACAGAAUGCGAGCCACUGCCAACUGAGCAUGAGGCUUCAUUUCCAGCUGGUGAGAAUGUUCUGGAACCAUAUCAGUCACUGCCCAGAACUGCACACUUCAAGAUAACUAACAUGGUCGCUUUAAUUAAAUGGUUAAUUUAAGUUCACCACAGUAAAAAAUGGAAUAAAAACUCAAGGGAUUAAAGUAGGUGAUACCCCAAAACACCCGGCUGGAAAGAGCUGAUAUUAUCAGGACUGUCGCUAAGAGUCUCGGGUCCAGGGUGCUGGGCGGCGCUGGCUGGAGGGGGUUGGGCUUUGUUUUUAAUCCAUUCUCUGUGGGGGACCCAGGGCUGGUGCCAGGCCCCGCCCAGGCUGCACGGGAGGGUGGGGCCGCCUCC